GGAGAAGCCGGUGCGAAUCCGGCACUGACCCGCAGCCGUUAUCCGUCCCCCGCGACGGUGAGUCGGAACGCCC
rnacentral:ncRNA from 1 species